CAGAAGAUAGUUUAAUUUAAAAUAUUAAUUUUGGGAAUUAAUGAUAGGGGUUGUCUUUUCUUCUGA
rnacentral:tRNA from 1 species